rnacentral:SRP_RNA from 1 species
GCAUCGAUAUGGUGGUCCUGGGGGAGCCGGGGGCCACCAGGUCGCUUAAGGAGGGGUGAACCGGCCCAGGUCGGAGACGGAGCAGGUCAAAGCUCCCGUGCCGCUCGGUAGCGGGAUGGCGCCUGUGAACAGUCCCUGCAGCACAGCCCGGGCGAGAGAGCGGGACCCAGCCUCUU